rnacentral:lncRNA from 10 species
CUGAGGCCAGAGGAUCCCUUGAGUCUAGGAACUUAAGACCAGCCUGGGCAACAUAGGGUGACCCCAUCUCUACAAAAAAAUUUUUUAAAAAUUAGCUGGGUGUGGUAGUGUGCACCUGUAGUCCCAGUUCCUCGGGAGGCUGGAGCGGGGGCACCGCUUGAGCCCAGGAGUUCAAGGCUGCAUUGAGCUAUGGUCACACCACUGCACUCCAGCCUGAGUCACAGAGGACUAAGACCCCUUUUUAAAAAAUAAAAAUAAAAAAUAAAAAAAUAAAAGGCAAAACUUAUCUACAUAUGAUGAGAGAGGUCAGAAUAGUGUCUACUUGUUUAGGGCAGUGGGAGAUGGGGAUUGAGUGAGAAAGGGCCUGAAGGAACUUACUAGAAUGAUGGAAAUGUUCUCUAUCCUGAUCUUGGUGGUUGUUACAUGAGUGUAUACAUAGGUAAAAAUUCAUUGAGCAUCCACUUAAGAUUUGUGUAUUUUACUAUAUGCAAAUUAUGCAUCAAUAAAAGAGCAAAAACAAUCAAAACUCUUAGGUGACCACACCUGAUAUAAGCAUGGCUGAUACAUUAAAAAGCUUGCAUAUAUUACAAUGAAUACCAUCAUUUGGGAAUUUAAUAUAAUUUUGUAACAGCCUCAGAAACAGUCAUAUUCCAGAGGCCCUUGGCAACAGCUUUGUUGCUUACAGCUCACCAGCACCAAAAGGGACCCGUCGCUUUCCAACCAAGGGGGCUGUGGCCCUGCCCAGAACUCUCAAGGGAUCCACCUUUCUGGGUCGAACUCUCACAGCUCCCAGAGUACCUGGGGCCAAGCACGUGAGCUGCCAGCAGGCCUUAGCACCCUGGGAUGCCAGACCUGCUCAAACUUGGAGAGGGUCCUACAGGUCCUUGGAGGAAAAUUACAAGCCCCAAGUACACUGGACACACAGAGUUUGCCUGUGAUGAAAACUUAGAUGAAGGAAGAAGCCCUUUAGGAGGGUCUUUCUUGUCUUCUGCAGAUGUGCGGCUCUAGCCGUGCUGCAACGCAGACCAUGGACCAGGAGCUCCCAACCUCAGCUGCACAGCACAGGGGAGCAUUGGAACAUGGGAUGCCCGGACCGUCUGACCCACACCAACUGAAUCAGAAUCUUUAAUAUGGUGUUUCUCAGAGGGCCCCCUGGAGCCACAGCAACAUUGUCACCUGGGAACCUGUUAGAAAUGCACAUUCUCAGGCCCCACUUCAGACCCACUGAAUUCUGUGGCCAGCCCCAGCAAUCUUUGUUCUGACUGUUCUCACAGUCCCUGCCAGGGGUUCUGAUGCAUGUGGAAGUGUGGGACCUAAUUAGAAACUGCAUUUCUAGCAAGUUUCCAGGCGGUGCAGAUGUGGCUGCUCUGGGGACUACACUCUGAAAACCACCAGAGUCUAACUGUCUAAUGGGUAGAGCCAAGCUCUGGGAGAGAGUGGGGGAAAUUAAAAGCUACCCAGGUGAGUGGCUCUGAUGCAGGUGAGAGUAAUUAGCAUUGCCAUAGCCUCUCAUCGUCUCAUCUGACAAGAGGUACACAGCUGGAGAGGGAGCUCACACAGGUGAGGGCGUUACAGGAGAAGAAAUACCAUCUCCUCAAUUUGACCUGUCUGUGGUCUCUUCAUUUCUAUAACACUGCAAUUUGGGGUUCCUGGUACGGCAGAAUUUAGGUUCUAGGUGCCUAGCCCUGAGAAUUUGUUCUGGCAAUAUUGAAGCUGGAGACGUUUUUGUUAGAACACUUUGCAUAAAAGCCUUUAUGGGGAAGGGGACCUGAUUUUACCUUAAAAAGCUAAUUUUUGGCCCAAGAUAGAUGAGACUUAGAAGGGGAGAGGAAGUAAAGGAGGAGUAAAGAGAAUGAAAAGAAGAGAUGAUGUGCAGGGCUGGGGAGGAGAGAGCAAAUGGGGAGGAAGAGAAAGAACUGUGAGAGAAGGACUGAAAGAUCGUCUCUCCUUUCCAAGGAGCGUCCGCCCUCUCUCUUUUUUUAAAAUUGAGCACUGAGAAGGGAUUUAUGCAAGACUGGGUGCAAGAGCUGGGCAAGCUGAUAUGCAAAGCAGGAAAGCAAAGGAUUGAAAGGAGUCAAAGUGCUGUCUUUGGCAGCACAUGUAUAAAAUUGGAAUGAAGGCCGGGCACCGUGGCUCACGUCUGUAAUCCCAGCACUUUGGGAGGCUGAAGUGGGCGGAUCACUUGAGGCCAGGAGUUCGAGACCAGUCUGGCCAACAUGAUGAAACCCGUUUCUACUAAAACUAUGAAAACUAGCCGGGCGUGGUGGUGCAUGCCUGUAAUUCCAGCUACUCGGGAGGCUGAAGCAGGAACUCAGGAGGCACAGGUUUCAAUGAGCCGAGAUCACGCCACUGUACUCCAGCCUGGGUAACAGAGUGACACUCUGUCUCUAAAUAAAUAAAUAAAACUGGAACAAUACAGAGAAGAUUAGCAUGGCCCCUGCAAGGAUGACACACGAAUUCAUGAAAAGUUCCAUAUCAAUAAAAAUUAUUUUAAAAUUUUUUUAAAAGAAUGAGUUAAAGGAGACCCCAAAGGAGUGAGUGGGGGCUGGAGGCCAGGCCCACCAUGGCAGAGGGUCAGACUUCAUCAGGGUGAAAACUUCCUGCUGUGAAAAGCCAAACUACAGACUGGGAGAAAAUGUUCACAGCACCUGUAUCUGAAAAAGGAUUUGCAUUCCAAAUACAUAAAGAACCCAUACAACUCACUAAUAGGAAGGCAAACAGUGAAAACUGAGCAAAAGACAUGAACAGACACUUCACAAAGGACAUGCAAAUGGCCAGCACGCACAGGAAGAGAUGCUCACCCUCAGUAGUCUUCAGGGAGAUGCAGAAUGAAACCACAGUAAGAUGCUACCUCACACUCACAAGCAUGGCUGAAAAUAAAAAGAUGUGUAAUACCAGUAUUGGUUAGAAUGUAGGGCAGCUGAAACUCCUAGCUCACUGGCAGGAACUUAAAAUAGUACAGGCUGGAUGCAGUGGCUCACGUCUGUAAUCCCAGCACUUUGGGAGGCCAAGACGGGCAGACUGCUUGAGCCCAGGAGUUUGAGACCAGCCUGGGCAAUGUGGCAAAACCCCAUCUCUACUAAAAAUACAAAAAAUUAGCUGGGUGUGGUGGCAUGCAUCUGUAAUACCAACUACCCCAGCAGGCUGAAGUGGGAGAAUCACCUGAGCCAGGGAGGUCGAGACUGCAGUGAGCUGUGAUCAUGCUACUGCUCUCCAGCCUGGGUGAUAGAGUGAGACCCUGUCUCAAAAAAUAAAGAUACAAAUAAAAUAAAAUAGUACAACUGCUUGGGAGAACUACUGGAGUUUAUUUUAAAUCUAAACAAACACCCACCAUUUGACCCAGCAAUUCUACUGUUAUG